CCUACGGGAGGCAGCAGUAGGGAAUCUUCCGCAAUGGACGAAAGUCUGACGGAGCAACGCCGCGUGAACGAUGAAGGCCUUCGGGUCGUAAAGUUCUGUUGUUAGGGAAGAACAAGUGCUAGUUAAAUAAGCUGGCACCUUGACGGUACCUAACCAGAAAGCCACGGCUAACUACGUGCCAGCAGCCGCGGUAAUACGUAGGUGGCAAGCGUUGUCCGGAAUUAUUGGGCGUAAAGCGCGCGCAGGCGGUUUCUUAAGUCUGAUGUGAAAGCCCCCGGCUCAACCGGGGAGGGUCAUUGGAAACUGGGAAACUUGAGUGCAGAAGAGGAAAGUGGAAUUCCAAGUGUAGCGGUGAAAUGCGUAGAGAUUUGGAGGAACACCAGUGGCGAAGGCGACUUUCUGGUCUGUAACUGACGCUGAGGCGCGAAAGCGUGGGGAGCAAACAGGAUUAGAUACCCUGGUAGUCCACGCUGUAAACGAUGAGUGCUAAGUGUUAGAGGGUUUCCGCCCUUUAGUGCUGAAGUUAACGCAUUAAGCACUCCGCCUGGGGAGUACGGUCGCAAGACUGAAACUCAAAGGAUUGACG
rnacentral:rRNA from 1 species